CCAGACCCGCCCGAAAAAGAAGCGCGCAAUUAGAGUCUGAAAGCUCAUAACGCAAAAGCUGCAGAGCUAAAAUCUGGUAUCUGAGAGUUAUUUAUCCACCAGCUCCGAGGCAGCGAGAAAGAGAGGAACUUAAGCGGCUUAAAGGUACUACUUGAAGGACUUCUCCAAGGACGGAAGAUUCUUUCUACCUCAUAAAAACCUGGAUGCCCCCAAAGGAGGAAAGAAAUGUGAAGUAUCAACUUUCAAAAAAUCACAUGAGAAUACUACUUCAAAAGAUGAGUUACUUGUUUUUCAGGCUCCGGACGCACAGGCUCAGCAGCCAUGGCUCACGGGCCCAGCCGCUCCACGGCAUGUGGGAUCCUCCCGGAUCCCCUGCACGAACCCGUAU